GAGUUUGAUCCUGGCUCAGGAUGAACGCUAGCGGCAGGCUUAACACAUGCAAGUCGAGGGGCAUCGGGAGGGAAGCUUGCUUUCCUUGCCGGCGACCGGCGCACGGGUGAGUAACACGUAUGCAACCUGCCCUCUUCAGGGGGACAACCUUCCGAAAGGGAGGCUAAUCCCGCGUAUAUCGGUUUCGGGCAUCCGAGAUCGAGGAAAGAUUCAUCGGAAGAGGAUGGGCAUGCGGCGCAUUAGCUUGACGGCGGGGUAACGGCCCACCGUGGCGACGAUGCGUAGGGGUUCUGAGAGGAAGGUCCCCCAUACUGGUACUGAGACACGGACCAGACUCCUACGGGAGGCAGCAGUGAGGAAUAUUGGUCAAUGGGAGAGAUCCUGAACCAGCCAAGCCGCGUGAGGGAAGACGGCCCUAUGGGUUGUAAACCUCUUUUGUCGGAGAACAAAACCCGGGACGUGUCCCGGACUGCGUGUAUCCGAAGAAAAAGCAUCGGCUAACUCCGUG
rnacentral:rRNA from 1 species